AUGCACUUCCAUGAUUUGAGGCUUCAUGGUGGCAUUGAUUCUGUUAUUUGAUACUCUAUAUGGUUUAUAUAGAUUGGUCUUUUUUAGUUUGAUGAUCUGGUUUCGUGCCUUCUUUUGUGGUCAGGUAUUGUUCAUUUACAACUGAAAUAUCAUGGUUCUUGCCAUUACUUUGAAUAGCGAGGAUCUCUAGAGAAUUGGGCAAUCCAAGAUUCUCAUCAUACUAUGGGUAGCAUUUGUGUCCUAUUUCCAUAGGUUCAAGUUGUUAUUAGCAGGAGCAAGAACAUAAUUGUUCUUAGCAGGCUGACCAAAAGGGAAGUAGCAACACCUUGCAACAGGACUUACUGAAACAGGAAUAAGAGUCGGCAGAGUAACUAGAAUAUGCAGAGCAACUGCUAGCCAAAACGUCAAGAUCUUAAAUUUAACAUGAGUGAAAUGAAAGUGCCAUAUGAUCUUUUUCAUGAUCACUUUAGGUAUGGCUCACUUACAAAAACUAUGCAGGUUUCUCUUCAUUAAUGUGGUGGUCAUUUAUUUUAGAAAACUUACAUGUCUUCAGGCAAGUGGCUAAAUGUGGAAAGGUACCAUAAUUUAUUAUGGGCAUGUAUAAACAAUAGCAUGAUAGUGGACCUCUGUUUUAUUGCCCAGCUUGAAAAAUUCA